GGACUCGUGGUCUAGUGGUAUGACGUCGCCUUCACACGGCGAAGGCCGGGUGUUCGAAUCACCCCGGGUUCA
rnacentral:tRNA from 1 species